UUCCCCUCACAACAAUUUGCAUCAAACCUCUUGUCUGCUCCUCAGCUGAAAUCAUCAUCUAGCAGUCACAAUAGUUGAGCGGUUGGAGAGGCAUGCAUUGCGUCCUACUACUGCUCAGACUAUAUCAUGUUUGGCAGACAAAACAUGCUGAUCAAAAAGAAUGUGUACCACAGGGGCCAGUGUUUCCAUUUGAGUGAUUGACAAGGAGAAGAAGAGAUGAGAAAUGUUAUCAUCAUAUUUUAG